rnacentral:rRNA from 1 species
GAUGAACGCUGACAGAAUGCUUAACACAUGCAAGUCAACUUGAACUUCGGUUUGGGUGGCGGACGGGUGAGUAACGCGUAAAGAACUUGCCUCACAGAUAGGGACAACAUUUGGAAACGAAUGCUAAUACCUGAUAUUAUGAUUAUAUGGCAUCGUAUAAUUAUGAAAGCUAUAUGCGCUGUGAGAGAGCUUUGCGUCCCAUUAGCUAGUUGGAGAGGUAACGGCUCACCAAGGCGAUGAUGGGUAGCCGGCCUGAGAGGGUGAUCGGCCACAAGGGGACUGAGACACGGCCCUUACUCCUACGGGAGGCAGCAGUGGGGAAUAUUGGACAAUGGACCAAGAGUCUGAUCCAGCAAUUCUGUGUGCACGAUGAAGUUUUUCGGAAUGUAAAGUGCUUUCAGUUGGGAAGAAAAAAAUGACGGUACCAACAGAAGAAGUGACGGCUAAAUACGUGCCAGCAGCCGCGGUAAUACGUAUGUCACAAGCGUUAUCCGGAUUUAUUGGGCGUAAAGCGCGUCUAGGUGGUUAUGUAAGUCUGAUGUGAAAAUGCAGGGCUCAACUCUGUAUUGCGUUGGAAACUGUGUAACUAGAGUACUGGAGAGGUAAGCGGAACUACAAGUGUAGAGGUGAAAUUCGUAGAUAUUUGUAGGAAUGCCGAUGGGGAAGCCAGCUUACUGGACAGAUACUGACGCUGAAGCGCGAAAGCGUGGGUAGCAAACAGG